AGUUAAUAAACUUUAGAUAAGUGUAUACUUUGAAAGUAUAUAAUAAUGGUUAAAUUCCAUUAUUAACUU
rnacentral:tRNA from 1 species